rnacentral:rRNA from 1 species
GAUGAACGCUGGCGGCGUGCUUAACACAUGCAAGUCGAGCGGAAAGGCCCUUCGGGGUACUCGAGCGGCGAACGGGUGAGUAACACGUGAGUAAUCUGCCCCUCACUCAGGGAUAACCGCGGGAAGCUGCGGCUAAUACUUGAUAUGACCACGUCUCGCAUGGGGUGUGGUGGAAAGCGUUUAGUGGUGGGGGAUGUGCUCGCGGCCUAUCAGCUUGUUGGUGAGGUAGUGGCUCACCAAGGCUUCGACGGGUAGCCGGCCUGAGAGGGGGACCGGCCACACUGGGACUGAGACACGGCCCAGACUCCUACGGGAGGCAGCAGUGGGGAAUAUUGCACAAUGGGCGCAAGCCUGAUGCAGCAACGCCGCGUGAGGGACGACGGCCUUCGGGUUGUAAACCUCUUUUAGCAGGGAAGAAGCGCAAGUGACGGUACCUGCAGAAAAAGCACCGGCUAACUACGUGCCAGCCGCCGCUGUAAUAC